GUAGGUGGCAAGCGUUGUCCGGGAAUUAUUGGGGCGUAAAGCGCGCGCAGGCGGUUCUUUAAGUCUGAUGUGAAAGCCCACGGGCUCAACCGUGGGAGGGUCAUUGGAAACUGGAGAACUUGAGUACAGAAGAGGAAAGCGGAAUUCCACGUGUAGCGGUGAAAUGCGUAGAGAUGUGGAGGAACACCAGUGGCGAAGGCGGCUUUCUGGUCUGUAACUGACGCUGAGGCGCGAAAGCGUGGGGAGCAAACAGGAUCAGAUACCCUGGUAGUCCACGCCGUAAACGAUGAGUGCUAAGUGUUAGGGGGUUUCCGCCCCUUAGUGCUGCAGCUAACGCAUUAAGCACUCCGCCUGGGGAGUACGGCCGCAAAGGCUGA
rnacentral:rRNA from 1 species